AGGGUUCUACCGUAUAUCAAGAGGCAAGAACUUCAGUCUGGUUGAUGCAUUCUGACCUAUGGGCCAGAGCAUGAUUAACGGCUUGGAUUGCACUUGAUGGAUCAAUCCGACGGUUGUAGAUGAUUGUUCCUGUCUAGCUCCUGCCUACACAGGGUGGCCCAGAGGUUGUUUGACAGACU
rnacentral:snoRNA from 1 species